UACGAAGGGGGCUAGCGUUGCUCGGAAUUACUGGGCGUAAAGCGCACGUAGGCGGCUUUCUAAGUCGGGGGGUGAAAUCCUGGAGCUCAACUCCAGAACUGCCUUCGAUACUGGAGAGCUUGAGUCCGGGGAGAGGUGAGUGGAACUGCGAGUGUAGAGGUGAAAUUCGUAGAUAUUGGGAGGAACACCAGUGGCGAAGGCGGCUCACUGGACCGGUACUGACGCUGAUGCGCGAAAAGCGUGGGGGAGCAAACGGG
rnacentral:rRNA from 1 species